rnacentral:rRNA from 1 species
CCUACGGGAGGCAGCAGUAGGGAAUAUUGGACAAUGGGUGCGAGCCUGAUCCAGCCAUGCCGCGUGCAGGAAGAAGGCCUUCUGGGUUGUAAACUGCUUUUGCCGGGGGAUAAAAGACCCAUGCGUGGGGAAUUGAAGGUACCCGGUGAAUAAGCCACGGCUAACUACGUGCCAGCAGCCGCGGUAAUACGUAGGUGGCGAGCGUUGUCCGGAUUUAUGGGUUUAAAGGGUGCGUAGGCGGCCCCGUAAGUCAGUGGUGAAAUACGGCAGCUCAACUGUCGAGGUGCCAUUGAUACUGCGGGGCUUGAGUACAGUCGAGGUAGGCGGAAUUGACGGUGUAGCGGUGAAAUGCUUAGAUAUCGUCAAGAACACCGAUAGCGAAGGCAGCUUGCUAGGCUGUAACUGACGCUGAGGCACGAAAGUGCGGGGAUCAAACAGGAUUAGAUACCCUGGUAGUCCGCACAGUAAACGAUGGUCACUCGGUGUUGGCGGUUACACGGCCAGCGCCUUAGCGAAAGCGUUAAGUGACCACCUGGGGAGUACGCCCGCAAGGGUGAAACGUCAAAUGAAUUGACGG